GUCCGGCUUGUCGCCGCCUGCGGGGCGGUGGGCUCUUCCCGGCCCCCAAAAUGGUAGCUAUAGGUUUUCUGCAGUAACAGACUGAUAAAAUGAUGCACGGAAGGAUUCAUGAGAAUCUAUGGUGUGUGACUGCCUGCAAACAACUCUGUCCCAGUCUGAGAACACCUACGUCUUUGUCGUUCCUUGACAGAAAACUGAUGAAACUGUUUCUGGAUACUAAUUGACGUCUGUAGAUGAUUAUUCUGAAGGGUACUAUUUUGCACUUCCUGUUGAAACUCUGGUCUGUGACAGCUCAGCUCGCUGAAUUGCAGAAGACAAGUUUCUGGAGACUGAACAGAAGGAAUGCGAGGAGGAACCACUGAAGAUUUCAUAUUAGUUAAGUUGAUAGGAAUUACAGACCCUGUGGAGCUACCUUCUCUAACUUUUUUUUGGAGGUGUGAUCAUCUUAACAGGAACAUCGUAACGGUGGACUUGCAGACUGCUUUAGAAAUUCAUGUAUUGAGCUACAUAUUGACUUAGGAAAUGUCUCAGAACAGCACACCCUUCACUUGGUGUUUUGAACUGCAUACUUUUCCCCCAAAGCUCAUGUAGGAGUAGAUGACCUUACAGAAUCUCUGCAAGGUGCGGGAUUGUAAUGGUGCAUCUUGCCUCUGACUCGUAAGCUGUACAGCAGCACAACGCAAGGGUUAAGGACAAGGUAAAAUCACUUUCUGCUGUUUUGAUCUCCUGAGAGAUUAUUGCUUUUAUGCAAGAAGUGGGGAGUGGGGUUCCUUUUGUGAGGACUGUUCCUGUGCCAGAAUUUGAAAGCAUGGGCCAAAAGUGUUCCUGUCAACUGUCAUACCAUUUGUACCUCUGCAUCAGAAUCUUGAAUUUGGAUAGAAAGAUCUCCAUUGUAGAAGCCCCAUCUUGUGGACAACCAAUCAAUGACUGCUUCAGCAUAACUGAGAUUUGAAACACCGAGAAAAUCUGAAGAAGUUUUGGUAGUCUUUGCAAUAAAAUGGACAGUCUUCAUGUUGCUGGACAAAAUGGAAACUUCAUUCAUGUGGAGAAAUCAGCAUAUGUUUUUUGUAGACUAUUUCCAAAGGUAAGAAAUAGUUAAAUACAGAGAGGUGAUAAACUGGGAUGGAAACAAGGAUGUUGACCCCAGAACUCUGUUCUAAGUGUGAAUCAGCUAAAACACUAACAAGCCUGAACCCUGCCUUGAAUUUCCAGAAUAUUUUCCUGUAGCAUUUUUAUAGUAUAAAUGAGUCUUUGAGUGGCAAAAUCAUAUAAGGGUAGAAGGAUGCUCUUUUAAAAAAUUGUUAAGACAGAAAGACAAGCAAAGUAUGCAUGAAAACUGAAUCUGGAAGCUUUGGGAAUAUCCUUAAGGAAAUACUUGGUUUUGGCACAAGAUAAUGGAAAAGGGAAAGCAAGUGUAGACUCAAUUAGCCAACAUACUUGGUAGGAAUAGUGUUAGGAAGGUAAAAAGAGUGUGAAAACAAGCCUGUGAUGAAAGCUGUUUUAAAAUUUCACUAUGACAUAAGUAUAAUAUAUAUAUUCUAUUAUAUAGAAUAAUAUAUACAUAGAAUAUCUUUUUGUGACUCUGAAGAAAUUGGGUUACUUAUAUGAUAGUUUUCUAUUUCUUCUGUAUGAAGAAAUUAGGAAACUAUGAUAGUUUUCCAUUUAAUAAUAAAGGGUAUGACAAAGUAGCCAGAAAGUGUAGCGACAUCUAGGGCCAGUUUGGCAGAAGUGCCUCCAUGCUAUGGUGUGUAGCUCCUUUGCUACUUCUUAGAUUGGCAUUUGGCAGUUGCACUCCAUGCAAAAAGAAAAAUAUCUUGAGCAACACAACCUCUUGAGAAUGAACAUCAUGAAUAUGAGAAUAAGAUCUUUAUUUUAGGGUGUUAGAAUGAUCCCAGCAGGAGUUUUGAGUGGUGGCAGUAGAAAAGAGAUGUUCUUCACUGAAUUUGUAGGUUAGAUCUGAGUAAAUUUUAAGCGGGAGAUGGGUAUGUGCUUAAAUCCAAUGUACGCUUCAAAAGACAUCCCACAUCUCUAACUGAAAAUUUAACCACUUUUUUUUUUUUUUUUCUGUGAAGGUAGUGUACCCAGGGCAAAUUUGGUCAGAGUGGCUUGCUUGGAAGAAAUGAGAGGAGUAAAGAGGGGUAUGGUGUGUAAAUAGGGUGCCCUACCAGCCCCGUUGUUGGGAGGAGAACAGAGGUUCUAUUCCUACAGGUGGAUAUCUGACUAAGCAUGGUGAUUAAAAAAGAGACAUAAGUUCAUGAUCUGGACAUCACAAAGCCAGGAAAGAACUUCCUAGUUUGUGUCAGGAGAGUUCUGGAUGAAGUCUUCACUUUAAAGACAUAUGAGGUACAAUAUAUUUUAAUACUUAAAAUUACCUGUAAGAGUGAGUGUGCACCUGUCACUUUACAGUUUAAUGUAAAAUAAGUGCUUACCUCAUACUGAAUAUUAAGACUUAGAUUUUCAUCCUUUGAUAGGCUAGGAAUUUCAUAAACACAACUCAUCAUAACAUCAUCAUAACAUAAAUAGAUCUAAAAAGUCACUGUUCAUAAUAAAUUAACAGAUAAAACUAUAAAUGCACAUUAUGAGCACAUUAUUUAAAAAUUCAGAAAUGCUGGUGCCUGCUUAGGAAUUCCUGACUGACUCUGUUUGUUUCUCAUAGCAAUCCAAAGUCUCUUCUGAAAUAGAAUUCUAUGCUUUUGGUGAAGGGCAUCUUUGAGGAGUUGUCUGAGCCAUAUUCUCAGUUUUGACCUCAGUCUGUACCUUAAGGGAGAGAAUUAAGACUUUAGCAAUAUACAGGACAAAAAAUUUCACUUGAAAGCAAGUUUUCCUGGAACCAGCAUGUGCAAAUAAAAAAUCUUUCUUAGUGUGAAAUGAAGCCAUGAAGGGAGCUGCCUUUUUAUGGUUCCUUUUUAUGGAAGGUGUUUCUUCCUCAAGAGACAGGGAACAGCAGAUGCUAGUUCACCCCUCCAGGGAAGAGCAUAUGAAGUGGGAACAGCUACUUAUAAUUCCCUGCACUUAAAUAAUGAAGCAUGAACAAUUCAACAAGAGAAGUACAGACAGAUAUUAGUAUGGUGUGAAAUCCAGAGAAGAAGCUGUAGCCUAGGAAAAGAAAAUGUAAAGCUUGUACUAAAAGGUGUUGGAAAGCAGGAAUUUAUUCCAGAGGUGUCCAAGAGGGAGUAAUGAUUGCUCAGAAUCCCUGCUCCACCAGGUGAGUUCAUUGUAGUACAGAGAAAGGAUAACCCCUGGUAUAAAGGACUGGAUAUUUCGUUACCUUGAGCAGAAGGCUCUAGAAAAAGCCGGUGUUAGUAAAAGCAGAAAUCUUUGCAGGAUUGUCAGACAAGGGCAAGCAUUCAGUGAUACUUCUUACAUCAGUUUGUAUUAGAAAUUAUAGUUUCUUGUAUGUGCCCAUGUGAGAAGGAAGGAAAAUAAUCACAUGAAGACACUGAAGAGUGAUCUGUGGUACAUUCCUUUGCUGAUAUGUACAAUAAAAUAUUGAGUUGCAGAGUAUUAUAAACAGAGAGUUGAUUGCUAAAAGUUGCAGAGUAAUAUGAAUCUCUUGUACUAACAGAUUUUAUCAAGAAAAUACAGCAGAACUGGAAACUCGGAGCUUAAGUGUGAAUUUGCAGUAAUCCACUGGCAGAAGAGUUGUGUAGGUGUAUCAAAUUGAUUUGAAAGGGAAUGAGGAGGUGUGACUUGUGAAUUGCUACUUUUUUAAGGUAAAAAAUUAGUGCACAUGUAGGUUGUGUUAGAAAAGAAAGUCUUCAUCCAUAUCUCUUUAUUAUGCACAUUUUUUAAAACGUUUUCUUUGGUUGUCUCUAGCUUUUCUACUAUUUUAUAUCUUUGUAUAUUAAAUUUUUAUUAUAUCAAAAUGUUAAGAGAUGUAAUAAUACUGAUAUAUCCAGUGGUUUAACAGUAAAAAAAAGAUAGGAAGAUUUUCAGUGGCCAUUGGAAAACAAAGUUUGAUGUGUUAUGCUACUACAAAAUUAAAUAUAUGCAGUUGAACUGUGAGCACCUGUGUUUGUAAUAUAUGGGAAUGUUCUUUUAAAGCUGUGUCUCCAUAAUGACAUUUGAAUUCCAACUUUGGUAUGUAAUAUUAGCAUAGUACUUUAUAUUUGAUUUUCAGCAGUGUAGUUUUUUGAGGCUAGGUGGCUUACGCUUUGAGAGGAUUCUUCUUUUUAAUCAAUAGGAGGAAAGUUUCUGCUCUCUUUAUAAAUUUACCAGAGCCAAUCCUUCAUACCAGAGUUCAUGUUUUAUUGACCUGACAGUGUUUUGUCUUUGCAAUUGACUGCUGCAAGGAUACAGUGCUCUAGAAAUUAUUACAGAACAGUAUUGAUGUUACUGUAGUAUUUCGCCCUAAUAGUUAUUUCAAGUAUAGAGUUACUUACGUUUUUGUGUUUGUGGUGUCAGCCUGUUCCACUGCUCUGCACCUGUACUGUCCCUGGCUUGUGUCCCUCCCUCUUCCAGCCCUAUCCCUUCCUCCAGAGCUGUGGUGGUGCCACAUUGUUGUAACCUCACUGCCACUUGCAUUAGUCACCACCACAGGAUCCACAUCCCCAGGGAUGGAUCCUGGUCCUGGUCCCUGUGCAUAAAAAGUCAGCGAGGUAAGGAGAAGGAAAGGCCCCUGCCAUCACCAGAGACAGUUUGAAACUCUUCUGACCCCCAUCCAAAAGGCUCCAUAAUUCUACAGUUCCUUGUGCUGAUGGAGAGUCAAAAUGGAAAAGGCCCAUGAGAGAAUUAUCACAAUACAACAUCUGGUCUGCAUUGGAAAAAGCUGAGAAAGAUAUUCAACAUCUCUGAGACCGAGAGGCAGCUACGAGGCACUUUGAAAGUCAGUCUAUGAAAAAUUGUGCAGGUUGUGGCCAUCUGGGCCAGUCUAAUGUUGUUUUGGGAAGAGCUACUCUGCUUCCUAGCAUCUGAAUUUUAAUCUCACUUCAGCACAGAUAUGUGGGAGCUGGGAGUGGUAUGAAAGGUGUUUGCUUUUCAUAAUGUUAAUCUGAAUCCCAACAUUGUCCUAAUUAUAUCAUGGGUUUUUGCCAGUCUCCCAAUUUUCUUUUGAGCAUGUUAGCUGAGGAGUCGAAAGGCUUUCCCAGGGCUUUUGGCAUAGCUUUAUAGGAAAAAGGAUGGAAAGGACUUUGUGUAUUUUUGGAAGAAUAUUUUGCAUCCUGCUUUAAACUAUUCCAGAAGGUAAAAGGACAUAGCUAGACUGCAUAUUGGCUCGCAUACUGGUAUGUCACUAAUGGCAAGGAGUUUUGCUUUGCCAAAUUGUUCCUGUUUUCUGCAGUCACAGACUAUGAGAAGUGCAAAGAAGUCGUGGACCAGCCUGGGCAGUAAGGGUACCACUGGAUUCAGAGGGAACAAACUCCUUCCACCACACGCAACCUUGGUCCCUUAAGUCAUAGCUCAUGCAGAACAGAAACAAUUUGACAUGUAUAACAAGAAACACUGCAAAUUGUUUUCCAAACAAAGACCUAUGCUGCAGAUGGAAGAACUGAUGAAAAUUGUUUAUAGUUGAGGAACUAAAUGUGGAUUUUUCAAGAACAAGGUUGCUCUCUCCCUUGCCAAGACAAACAAAUCUGGUAGAACAUCUCAUUGCUUUAGGCUGCCUGAGGACCCACUGGAAGGUCUAUGGACCUUUCUCCACAGAAAAUUUGUGUGUUGACAAUACGUAAGUGUACUGUCCACAGUUGCACUGUGGCAGCUGCAGAGGAAGUGGAAGGUUCUCAGAAAUACAUGAGGGAGAACUGGAUUUUUGGCUCCUGGAACAAUAUGGAGUGCUUUUGGAAACUGUGGAAGCUGGAUGUCACUGCUAUAAAAGGUUAUCUGUGAGUUAAACAUAAUGGUAAUUAAUCUGCUAUCUUUAGAUCUGAACACUAACAACAUGAUGAAAUUGAGCAUUCCUAUUAUUUAGAAUUGCAAUUUUCCAAGAUGCCUUAAUUCCUACAAAGAUACCCGGAUCUGCAUUGUUAGAGGUUUUCAGUGUCAAUCUUCAGAAGUAGACU